AAGCUGCUUAUCCCCUCAAGACUUGUUUAUUGUGGGUUUGGCCGUGUUUUCUCGUGGAAGACUAAUGAAACCUCGCACUCUUGAGAAAAUGGAACUGCCAUUCAAUUGGCGUUCAAUGGCGCCACAAUGAGUGCGUUUAAAUUGCAUUCUUUUGUUGCAGAGUGAUUCAAUCAGGGAUCUGUUAAGAGGUGUCAGUGUGGGCAGCAAAAUCACCAUCAAAGGGCGAGUCAAUCGGAACCCAAAAUGUUUUGCCAUUCAGUUGUUGAUGCACGAUAGCCGUCGCGCUGCACCUGAACCCUCGCUUCAACUGGAAAGGCGAUGUGAACGUGUUUGAGCGGAAUUCCUUCCUGUCUGGCUCCUGGGGUGUGGAGGAGCGUAAGAUGGCCUCCUUCCCCUUUGCACCCGGGCUCGACUUUGAGAUGGUUAUUUGGUGUGGCACUGACGCUUUCCACGUGACCAUCUACAACGGCGACCAAGUGGAUUACACAUACAGAGUCGGCCUAGAAACGAUCAUGCAUGCGAGAGUGAGAGGGGACAUGACGUUGUUAGACGUCAGUAACAUGUGACCUCAUCAUGUCAAUAUCGGAAGUACUACUUUAUUAC